UCUGGAACAAGAAUCAGAAUAUGUAUAUUAAGCAGAUUGAAAGCAACACAUCUCCAGGCACUGUUUGUUAUGAUGCUGACAAGGAAUUAGAGUCUCUACCCCACCAAUCCUUUUUUGAUGUAGUUAAAGUACACUAUGGCAAAAGACUAAGGGAUCAAGCAUUGGAGUUCUUGUCAGUGGCCAAAGUGAAAUGAGACAUGAAGUAACAUCAAUCUGUAAAUAUUGCUCCACAGAAAACCUGCAAGUGCUUGAGUUACUCCUUUUCGUAUUUUGUAUUCGAUGUCUUAGUCUCAUAUCUCCACUUUUAUAGUC